rnacentral:rRNA from 1 species
AGUGAACGCUGGCGGUAGGCCUAACACAUGCAAGUCGAACGGCAGCACAGUAAGAGCUUGCUCUUACGGGUGGCGAGUGGCGGACGGGUGAGGAAUACAUCGGAACCUACUUUUUCGUGGGGGAUAACGUAGGGAAACUUACGCUAAUACCGCAUACGACCUACGGGUGAAAGCAGGGGAUCUUCGGACCUUGCGCGAUUGAAUGAGCCGAUGUCGGAUUAGCUAGUUGGCGGGGUAAAGGCCCACCAAGGCGACGCUCCGUAGCUGGUCUGAGAGGAUGAUCAGCCACACUGGAACUGAGACACGGUCCAGACUCCUACGGGAGGCAGCAGUGGGGAAUAUUGGACAAUGGGCGCAAGCCUGAUCCAGCCAUACCGCGUGGGUGAAGAAGGCCUUCGGGUUGUAAAGCCCUUUUGUUGGGAAAGAAAAGCAGCAGGUUAAUACCCCGCUGUUCUGACGGUACCCAAAGAAUAAGCACCGGCUAACUUCGUG